rnacentral:rRNA from 1 species
AUAACGGUCCUAAGGUAGCGAAAUUCCUUGUCGGGUAAGUUCCGACCUGCACGAAUGGCGUAACGACUUCCCCACUGUCUCGACCAGGAGCUCGGCGAAAUUGCAGUACGAGUAAAGAUGCUCGUUAAGCGCAGAAGGACGAAAAGACCCCGGGACCUUUACUAUACCUUGGUAUUGGCGUUAGGCGCGGAUUGUGUAGCAUAGGCGGGAGGCUUCGAAGCGGGUGCGCCAGCAUUCGUGGAGCCGCAAGGUGAAAUACCGCUCUGUUCUCGUUUGACGUCUAACCUCGACAAGUCAUCCUUGUCAGGGACAGUGCCUGGCGGGUAGUUCAACUGGGGCGGUUGCCUCCCAAAGAGUAACGGAGGCGCUCAAAGGUUAGCUCAGCACGGACGGAAACCGUGCCUCUGAGUGUAAACGCAAAAGCUAGCCUAACUGCGAGGGUGACGGCCCGAGCAGUAACGAAAGUUGGAGUUAGUGAUCCGGCGGUAUGUGAAUGGAAAUGCCGUCGCUCAACGGAUAAAAGCUACCCUGGGGAUAACAGGCUGAUCUCCCCCAAGAGUCCACAUCGACGGGGAGGUUUGGCACCUCGAUGUCGGCUCAUCACAUCCUGGGGCUGUAUUCGGUCCCAAGGGUUCGGCUGUUCGCCGAUUAAAGUGGUACGCGAGCUGGGUUCAGAACGUCGCGAGACAGUUCGGUCCCUAUCUGUCGUGGGCGCAGGAUAUUUGAGGAGCUCUGUCCUUAGUACGAGAGGACCGGGAUGGACGUACCUCUGGUGCACCAGUUGUCAUGCCAAUGGCACGGCUGGGCAGCUAUGUACGGAACGGAUAAACGCUGAAAGCAUCUAAGCGUGAAGCCGACUCCAAGAUUAGAUAUCCCAUCGUAUAACGAGUAAGACCCCUUGAAGACUACGAGGUUGAUAGGCUGCGUGUGUAAGUGCCGUGAGGCAUUCAGCUUGGCAGUACUAAUAGGUCGAGGGCUUGACCAC